GUAGGGAAUAUUGGACAAUGGGCGAAAGCCUGAUCCAGCCAUGCCGCGUGAUAGAUGAAGGCCCUCUGGGUUGUAAAUAUCUUUUAUCUGGGAAGAAACUCCUCUAUUCUUAGAGGCCUGACGGUACCAGAGGAAUAAGCACCGGCUAACUCCGUGCCAGCAGCCGCGGUAAUACGGAGGGUGCAAGCGUUAUCCGGAUUCACUGGGUUUAAAGGGUGCGUAGGCGGGUUGAUAAGUCAGUGGUGAAAGCUCCGGGCUUAACUUGGAAACUACCAUUGAUACUGUCAGUCUUGAAUGUCGUAGAGGUAAGCGGAAUGUUGCAUGUAGCGGUGAAAUGCUUAGAUAUGUUACAGAACACCAAUUGCGAAGGCAGCUUACUAUGCGAUAAUUGACGCUGAGGCACGAAAGCGUGGGGAGCAAACAGGAUUAGAAACCCCGGUAGUCC
rnacentral:rRNA from 1 species